CAGGAAAAGUCAGGGAGAUGGGCAAGGGACAUAGCUGAGCCUAGUCCAGGAAAACCAAAGUCUGACUCCAACGGUCAGAACCUAGGCCUACGGGCCACAGGACCACAGAGCAGGCCUUGGAAGGACAGAAGACUCAGGGUCAGAAGAAAAGGGGUUCCCGAGAUUUCACACCAGCCCUCCCAGAGAGGGCCAAGAGGUCUAGAAUGUCAGCCCUGGCAGAGGGUCUGCUUCUGCAGCCAUGAUGACCCAGCCCUCACUGUGGAUUUCACGGGGGCAGAACAAGGUGGGGUGGCCCCAGGAAGCAGGGCCAUGCUCCUUCGUACACCCCUCUCUGUCAGUCCCAUCCUUCUCCCUGCCAGGGCUUCUGGAACACAGAUGCAGCUCUUGGCAGAGUGGACAAGCUGCCAUUCCAAAAUCUGACCCAGUUUCCCUGCAUGUCAAGAGGAACCUUUAAUUACACUCCAGACCAGAAAUCAUGCUGAGCUGAGCUCCGGUGCUGAAGGACAAGACCACCACGGAGCCAGGCAACUUUCUGCUGAGGUUUCCAACCAAGACCCCCAAACAGCUUACAGGUCCUGGGAAGAAUGGUCCUGAAUUCUCUCCACUGCCCUCCCAGCUGUGGAACAUCCGCUUGGCUCAGGCAACACUUAAGGAAAGGGUCAAAGCAGAUACGGGAACCGACGAGUCUCAACGCGUGUGUACCUUGCCCAACAGUUAUCUUGUUGGCAGCAGCUGGCAUGAGCACGCGGGGAGCCUUCAACGGCUCAGGGGUCCACAGGGCAAGAAGAUACCCAGUCCUGAAUUCAUUGACCAGACUGAGCCAUAGUUAUUUGCCGCUCUAUAGAACUUUCCCACUAGACUGUGAGGUUAAAUUUGGUCAAGUUGAAGCACAGCAUCACACAGGAAAGUGCAGAAAUCGUAAGUGUACAUUUCAAUGAAUUAUUAACUUGUGAACACUGAGUUUAAAAAACAGCAUGAGCAGUGUUCCAGAAGCCUCCCACCCCUCUUGCUCACUGCCCUCUUCUUCCUCGAAAGGGACUACUAUCCUCCAGUCUACAGGUCACCACAGCUAUUGUAAGCAAUACUGCUGUGAACAUUGGUGAAUAUAUUCACUGUGAAUACCUCUUCAAGACUCUGCCUUCAAUUCUCUGGGAUAUAUAACAAGAUAUGGGAUUGGACUGGAUUAAAGAUUCACUGAGCAUGGCCCUGACCAUCAGAGCAAGACUCAGAUUCCCCACAACUAGUCCCUCCCAUCAGGAGGCUCCCACAAGCCUCUUACCCUUAUCCAUCAGAGGGAAGACAGAAUGGAAACCACAGUUACAGAAAACUAACCAAACUGAUCACUUGGAUCACAGCCUUGUCUAACUCACUGAAAACCACGGGCCAUGCUGCGUAGGGCCACCCAAGAUGGAUGGGUCAUGGUGGAGAGUUUCGAUAAAACAUGGUACA